GGUUCCUGUCCAACGUUAAUCGGGGCAGGGUGAGUCGACCCCUAAGGCGAGGCCGAAAGGCGUAGUCGAUGGGAAACAGGUUAAUAUUCCUGUACUUGGUGUUACUGCGAAGGGGGGACGGAGAAGGCUAUGUUGGCCGGGCGACGGUUGUCCCGGUUUAAGCGUGUAGGCUGGUUUUCCAGGCAAAUCCGGAGAAUCAAGGCUGAGGCGUGAUGACGAGGCACUACGGUGCUGAAGCAACAAAUGCCCUGCUUCCAGGAAAAGCCUCUAAGCAUCAGGUAACAUCAAAUCGUACCCCAAACCGACACAGGUGGUCAGGUAGAGAAUACCAAGGCGCUUGAGAGAACUCGGGUGAAGGAACUAGGCAAAAUGGUGCCGUAACUUCGGGAGAAGGCACGCUGAUAUGUAGGUGAAGCGACUUGCUCGUGGAGCUGAAAUCAGUCGAAGAUACCAGCUGGCUGCAACUGUUUAUUAAAAACACAGCACUGUGCAAACACGAAAGUGGACGUAUACGGUGUGACGCCUGCCCGGUGCCGGAAGGUUAAUUGAUGGGGUCAGCGCAAGCGAAGCUCUUGAUCGAAGCCCCGGUAAACGGCGGCCGUAACUAUAACGGUCCUAAGGUAGCGAAAUUCCUUGUCGGGUAAGUUCCGACCUGCACGAAUGGCGUAAUGAUGGCCAGGCUGUCUCCACCCGAGACUCAGUGAAAUUGAACUCGCUGUGAAGAUGCAGUGUACCCGCGGCAAGACGGAAAGACCCCGUGAACCUUUACUAUAGCUUGACACUGAACACUGGUCCUUGAUGUGUAGGAUAGGUGGGAGGCUUUGAAGUGUGGACGCCAGUCUGCAUGGAGCCGUCCUUGAAAUACCACCCUUUAAUGGCUGGUGUUCUAACGUGGGCCCGUAAUCCGGGUUGCGGACAGUGUCUGGUGGGUAGUUUGACUGGGGCGGUCUCCUCCUAAAGAGUAACGGAGGAGCACGAAGGUUGGCUAAUCCUGGUCGGACAUCAGGAGGUUAGUGCAAUGGCAUAAGCCAGCUUGACUGCGAGCGUGACGGCGCGAGCAGGUGCGAAAGCAGGUCAUAGUGAUCCGGUGGUUCUGAAUGGAAGGGCCAUCGCUCAACGGAUAAAAGGUACUCCGGGGAUAACAGGCUGAUACCGCCCAAGAGUUCAUAUCGACGGCGGUGUUUGGCACCUCGAUGUCGGCUCAUCACAUCCUGGGGCUGAAGUAGGUCCCAAGGGUAUGGCUGUUCGCCAUUUAAAGUGGUACGCGAGCUGGGUUUAGAACGUCGUGAGACAGUUCGGUCCCUAUCUGCCGUGGGCGCUGGAGAACUGAGGGGGGCUGCUCCUAGUACGAGAGGACCGGAGUGGACGCAUCACUGGUGUUCGGGUUGUCAUGCCAAUGGCACUGCCCGGUAGCUAAAUGCGGAAGAGAUAAGUGCUGAAAGCAUCUAAGCACGAAACUUGCCCCGA
rnacentral:rRNA from 1 species